rnacentral:rRNA from 1 species
CCUACGGGAGGCUGCAGUGGGGAAUAUUGGACAAUGGGGGGAACCCUGAUCCAGCCAUGCCGCGUGUGUGAAGAAGGCCCUCGGGUUGUAAAGCACUUUCAGUGAGGAAGAACGCCUGGUGGUUAAUACCCAUCAGGAAAGACAUCACUCACAGAAGAAGCACCGGCUAACUCCGUGCCAGCAGCCGCGGUAAUACGGAGGGUGCGAGCGUUAAUCGGAAUUACUGGGCGUAAAGCGCGCGUAGGUGGCUUGAUAAGCCGGUUGUGAAAGCCCCGGGCGCAACCUGGGAACGGCAUCCGGAACUGUCAAGCUAGAGUGCAGGAGAGGAAGGUAGAAUUCCCGGUGUAGCGGUGAAAUGCGUAGAGAUCGGGAGGAAUACCAGUGGCGAAGGCGGCCUUCUGGACUGACACUGACACUGAGGUGCGAAAGCGUAGGUAGCAAACAGGAUUAGAUACCCUGGUAGUC